UUAAAAAGAGAGAAAUAUCAAAAGAUACGUCUUUGGUUUCUGUUGAGGUGUGUUUGAUUAUUUAUAGACAGUGACUUCCUGCCAUAUUCUCACAUCACGAAAGGAUAUACUUAGUGUUCCUGAGCCUUGGGUAUAUGGACACUAAUCCUACCCUUGAGGAAGAAACUGUCACCUUAUGCUAGGGAUGCAGGGAUGCAAGUUGAAGUUGCCAGCCCUCCUGCCUGAGGAAUUCCCCCUCAGGACUUAACAAGCACCCAGGAUAUUGGCUUGAAUUAAAGAAAAGUAUUUCAGAUAAGUCUUAAUCAAUCAAAAGGAGAAGAUGCACUGAAAGAGACCCAGGGUAGCCAUUGGAGAAGAGAGUACACAAGUGCCUUAGCUACAGUUGUACGCAUGGUUUUGGUGCCCUUGAAGUGGCACUUGAGGACAACAAUCUACAUCGAAGACAGAAUUGAAAGUCGUUGGUAGGUACACAUAUUUCUUUACUGAAGCAGGCAUUUUAGUAGCAGUGAGAUGCAUUUGAGGCUAUAUCAACAACUAAGAUCUACAACUAAGACUUUAAGAAGUGUUUGCAUACUCAAUUUCUGACAGAAAGUGUUAGGUCUCUGAGGCAGCUUAAAGGGACAGGAGGCAGAAAAGAGAAGGAGCCCUAGCUGCAGCCCGGACUGCGUUUAUCCGUGCACAGCGAGCUUCCUCAGGGAAGCUGGAGACUCUCCCAGAGGAAAACAGAUGGCUGUGACCCUUUGUAUGGUUUUUGUUGUUUCGGUCUUAGACAUUAGCCAUUAGCUGUUCUAAGAGUCACAUUUGUAAUAUUUUUAGAAGUGAAGUAUAGUGUAGGUUCGUUUUGUUUUGUUUUGUUUUGUUUUUGCACAGGCCAACUGCAGUCAAUUGUCAAAAUUCUUGACUCUGUCAGCAAGUGACAUAAACCACUCCAGAGGCUUUGGACUGAAGCUGGAUCCUGGUACAGGCAAGCACCACUUAAGGUUUUUGCACGGAACUUUCUUCAGUCGGGCAUACCAGCAUCUGUCCAUCUCUGUUUGACCUUCCAUCUGCAAAGACUCUUAGAAAAACAUCAGUAAUCUGUUCUUGGACCACUGCAGUCAAGGGCAUAGUUUAUACUUCACAUGUCACUCUGGUCUCUUAGAGAAGACAAUUCAUUUCUUAUUUGUUUGUUUUGGUUUUUGCGACAGCAUCUCUCUACAUAGCCAGGCUAGUCCCAACUGUUGACUUGGGACCCAGAACAACAGAACUGCACACAUGUUUGGGUAAUAGUCUUGCAGAUCAAGCUUGAAAAAGUUUCUAGGCUGCCUGCCCAUUUUCUUUUCCUCUUAAAAAAUAGUUCUGAUUUUUGUUUUAGUUUUUCUGAAUUAUGCUUGUUUGGGACUGAGCCACUCAAACAUUUACAGGGGUAUUUAAAAUGUCUCGGGGGUUUAGUUAUAAUAAAUUAAAGCUUUUACAAGAACUCAUGUAAAAUGUUUACACAAACUGUGCAUCCAUUUCUCUUAAGUAAAUUGGGAUUGAUGGGGCAUAUAAUAAACGUUUUAUUAACUUUGCCAUAAA